rnacentral:piRNA from 1 species
GUAAACUUUCAGUCUGAGACUGCCUGA